CAAGAGCGUAUGUAAAAGUUGUUGCAGUUUAAAAGCUCGUAGUUGAACCUUGGGUUUGGUUGGCCGGUCCGCUUUUUUGCGAGUACUGGAUUCAACCGAGCCUUUCCUUCUGGCUAACCAGUCGUUUCGGCGGCUGGCGAACCAGGAUUUUUACUUUGAGAAAAUUAGAGUGUUCAAAGCAGGCAUUAGCUUGAAUAUAUUAGCAUGGAAUAAUAGAAUAGGACGUUAUGGUUCUAUUUUGUUGGUUUCUAGGACCAUCGUAAUGAUUAAUAGGGACGGUCGGGGGCAUCAGUAUUCAGUUGUCAGAGGUGAAAUUCUUGGAUUUACUGAAGACUAACUACUGCGAAAGCAUUUGCCAAGGACGUUUUCAUUAA
rnacentral:rRNA from 1 species